UGCACGUGGAUCAGUGUCCUGGAAAAAGUGAUUGGAUACCUUUUGACUUCCACUGGAUAGAAUUAAAAUGAAAUCCAGCAAAAAGAUGGAACCUCAUCCUGCAAAUCUUUAUAUUGCUUCAAUAUAGAUUGGAGUGAGCUUUACUAAAGAAGAAGCAGAUUGCUGGACUCUUUUUGGACGAGCCCAAAGCUGGAACACUCCUCAUCCUCCACACCAGCAUCCCUGCAGGACCUGCUCUGAGCGAGGCUGUGGGAAAUCCAGACAGCUCAGCACGGUGGAGAGGUGACCUCCCUCUGAAAGCAAACAGCCCCUUUUGCCAACAAGCAUUCCACUAAAAUGGAACCCCACUAAAAUGGAAUCCCACCAAAUCCUGGGUGUGUGCUUUCCUUGGCUGCAGCACGGGCAGCCCGCCCUGCACUUGGGAAAUUGUUACGGGAGCAAUUUUAGCUGCUGCGAAUUGCACUGGAAAUGUUUUCUAUGGUCUGGCACUUCAUGUGAUGAAUGACCCACCUCUAAACUCAAGUCAGUCCUUCCCUGCAAUUAUUCAGGAAAAGCCCCACCGUUUCCACAGAAAUCAGGAGAAAUAAUGUCAGUUCUGAUUUCUUCUGUGUUCUAGAUGUCCAUUAAUGCCACUAAUGACAUAAACUAAUUCUAUGCUAGUAUAUAUAUAUAAACAG